CCCUUAGACGUUCUGGGCCGCACGCGCGCUACACUGACCAGUGCAACAAGCAUCCGUCCUUGGCCGACAGGCCCGGGCAAUCUUUGAACGCUGGUCGUGAUGGGGAUAGACUUUUGCAAUUUUUGGUCUUCAACGAGGAAUUCCUAGUAAACGCAAGUCAUCAACUUGCAUUGAUUACGUCCCUGCCCUUUGUACACACCGCCCGUCGCACCUACCGAUUGAAUGGCCCGGUGAAGCCUCCGGAUUGGCGCGCACCUCGGUGCCGCCGAGAAGUUGGCUAAACCUUACCAUUUAGAGGAAGGUGANGUCGUNCA
rnacentral:rRNA from 1 species